rnacentral:rRNA from 1 species
AUUGAACGCUGGCGGCAGGCCUAACACAUGCAAGUCGAGCGGAUGAAGGGAGCUUGCUCCUGGAUUCAGCGGCGGACGGGUGAGUAAUGCCUAGGAAUCUGCCUGGUAGUGGGGGAUAACGUCCGGAAACGGGCGCUAAUACCGCAUACGUCCUGAGGGAGAAAGUGGGGGAUCUUCGGACCUCACGCUAUCAGAUGAGCCUAGGUCGGAUUAGCUAGUUGGUGGGGUAAAGGCCUACCAAGGCGACGAUCCGUAACUGGUCUGAGAGGAUGAUCAGUCACACUGGAACUGAGACACCGUCCAGACUCCUACGGGAGGCAGCAGUGGGGAAUAUUGGACAAUGGGCGAAAGCCUGAUCCAGCCAUGCCGCGUGUGUGAAGAAGGUCUUCGGAAUGUAAAGCACUUUAAGUUGGGAGGAAGGGCAGUAAGUUAAUACCUUGCUGUUUUGACGUUACCAACAGAAUAAGCACCGGCUAACUUCGUG